CUUAACAGGAAAUUAGAGUUCUGAAAUGAAAGUGAUUUAAAAACAAUAAUAGAAAAAUAAUAUAGCAUAGUGACAAAGGUCAUAUUUGUUAAUAUGCCAAAUAUGUAAUUCUGAAGUACUGAACAGGUGAGAUUCUUGGUCCUGUUUCCAGGUGGUGUAAGAAUACCACCAAUGUAUUUCUUUACUACAAAGGCAGGCUGGGGAAAUAAUCGAUAUUAUUUAUAUCCAGCCUGGUCAUCUCCAUACUCUCCUCCCACUUUUCAGCUCUUCCUUUGUUUCCCAAGUGUGUUAAAUCAGCAAGGCUUAGCAUUGCUGUCAUCUGGUCUAUACUUUCUGGCUCUCUACCAUCUGAAAAACUAUUCUCUGGACAAAUUGGAUUCUGGAGCCCACACAGAUGGUGCGAGUGACUAACUGAUGCCUUGACUUUGCACAGCCUACACACUGAUGUCAUAAGAAAAGGCUAAUACCUCUGAGGUGAGUCUCCUUAUUUGUUUGUAUUCCAACAAUAACAGUGGGAAAUGCAACAAUGAGGAAGAAAUUAAUAAAAGAAAAGCUCAACUUCUUAUUAGGAGCAACUGACAUAAAAUGUGAUGUGUAACCUAAUGAAAAGAACCAUCAAUAUUAGUUUGGUAUUUUUUAAAUAAAUGAAUCAUUAGAUGACAAA